GCCAGUUCCGGGAGCAGUUCCGGGGCAGCCUCGGCGGGCGGGCGGCGAGGGAGCAGUUCCGGGGCGAUGUCGGCCGUCACUGCCGCCUCCUCGGCGGGCGAUUCGAAGUCGAUGCUGGGGGUCGCGGCCGGUGCCUCGGCGGGCGGGCAGGACCCGAUGGCGCUGUGCCCGGAGCUGGAGUACUCGCUGUCGCUGCUGGAGCCGGGCGGCGGCCGGGCCGAGCAGCAGGAGCGGCGGGCGGACGCGGCCCCCAUGCCCAUGGUGUUCAUGUGCGCCGGCUGCAGGCGGCCCGUGGGCGACACCUCGAGCUGGGUGUCCAACGACGAGGAGAGCGGCUGCAUCCUGCUGCGCAGUGCGGCCGCCAGCGUCGCCGUGGACCCCGAGCGGAAGGUCUCCAAGAUCCCCGGCGAGUGCGGAUGCAUGGUAGAAACCUUAUUCUGCUCUGGCUGCUCAAGGACACUUGGCAGCAUCUACAGGUGCACCUCAAGGAACCUCGACUACAAGAGAGAUUUGUUCUGUUUCAGUAUUGACUCUAUUGACAGCUAUAUUCUAGGAACCCCAGGAAAGCAAGCUGUUAUUCACGAGGAACCGCUUACUCUUGAAAGUCGAGCUGUCUUGCAAGAGGUGCUGGAAAGGGUCGAUACGAUAUUCAAAGCUCUGGAGACAAGGCUGAGCACUAUCGAGUCACGCGUGGCUGCUCUGCACAGGCAAGUGUGACAGGAAAUGCAUGCUGAGCUGCAGGAGAAGAGAACCUUGCCCUGUCAUCCUCUAGGGUCUCUGGGAACAUUGCAAGGACUGGGAAAGAGCUGAAGGCCAUGGGAGCAGUGCUGACUCAGGCUGUGUCCCACCAAGGAGCUCCUCUUAUGUCCCUUAACAGGAUACCCCAGGGCUUUUUUUCUUAAUAAAGACUUCUGAUCAGACAAUCUGUAGACUUCUGGUUUAAUGUAAAUAUUUAUUUAAAUUUUUGUCUCUGACAGCAAAACAUUUAUCUCCUGACUUCCCUGCUAUUCAGUAUCUACUGAACUGGGUGUGCAUUUUCCUAAGCUAAGGAAAAAGCUCCCUGUGAUUCUGUAAUUUCCAAAGGAGCAGCAUUAAGUCACUUACGUUUUUCUUGUCUCCAUAGCUUUAGCUUGACUCGUGCUUAAAGACAGGAAUGACUCAAUAACGAUAUGUGGUGAAUUGUUAGUUUGGCGGGGUUUUUGUGCAAGUUCAGGGCUAAAAUGUGAUGUAAGAAAAGGCUUUUUUUGCAGCAUUAGAUUUUAGCAGCAUUGCUGCUUUUCAAGCUUUCUAAGUAAGUCACCUCAUCCAAUUUAAACUCUCUUGAAAUAUGCUGAAUAUGGUUUUUUUUCAUUGUUAUAUUAGUUUUUGUUUUGGUUUGAUUUGGCUUUUUUUUCUUUUUUUGCCUGGCUUGGGAAAAUUUAACAGAUCUCACUUUUUUCUUCUCCAGUUGAGUGUAGUGUUAUCUUCUUAAUUCAAAAAACAUUUGCUGUAUGGAAAAAUCAUCUUGCCUUGUGAAAAGACAGAUUGUACCUGCUGAAAGGCUGAGGUGAGACCAGGAUCUCUAAAAUCCCUGACUCUCCGUGUCUUCCUGAGGCUGAAGCCAUGUUUGCUGUCAGUGACGACACACUGGAAGAUGCUAAAGACUGAAAACUUGAGGAUUUUUUCCCCUGAAGCCCAAGACUCUCUCUGUAGCUGUGCCCUGUCUAGCUCUUGAAAGAGUUUCUGGGUUUACAAAGGUUUUUACGUUCUGCAAUAUUUAUCUACAACUCAAUUAAAAAGAAUCAUAAUGUA